CAGCAUCCUUCCAUCAUAAUGUUAUGGCACCGAGAAAUUUGCUUGAAAACCCUGGAAAAAAUGUCUAUGGGAGAGCCUGGUAUUUGAGAUAGCGUAAAUGUUAACAUCGAGUGGAGGCUGGGAGCUUCCGCGGAUGCAAGAUGGUAUUCCACUGAGGACACGGGUGCUGCAGGGACCUCUGGGCUGUCCGCACACUCGGCCCACCCUCCACCCCCCGCUUUUUUUUUUUUUUUUUUUUCUGGAGUUUGUUUCGCUUUUAAAGCAGCAGCACAAACAAACAAACACACAAAACCGACUGGCAACAAGUUAAAUCUCGUCCGCGUCCCUCCCACCGCGCGCGGACGGUGCCUCGCUACAGCCUGGGGUGGUGGUUCUGCCUCGGCAGUAAUCUGACCAAGAAGCGGCUGCACGCUGACUUCUGAGCGGUGACACUGUGGAGAGAAAAGGCGUUGAAAGAAACACUUCUCCCGGGAUGCACCAUCUCCUUUGUGUGUUCGCUCCUCUCCGUCUUUCAGACGGGGCGCUCCAUAGGCUUGCACACGCACACACGCGCACACGUACGCACUGAGUCUCUGUUUCCCCGGGAGUUUUCAGAAAACAGUGUUUAUUAGAACCGAUCUAUAAACUCCACCUGAACAAUGAAAUCACGCCGUAGCUCGGAAAACUCCAACAAACAAAUAUUUUGCACAAGUGAGACGAUGGCAUUGCACUUUAUUUGCCUGCUCGUUGCAAAACGCCAAUGACAGGUAUAGAUAAAAGGCUCAUAGCCCUUGUCCACGUUGGACUGGACAGAACCAUACCCAUUUAGGAACAGACCGGGUUUAUUUUCCCUCCCAAGGCGACUACAAGCUAGUUUUGCAGUUGUAUUAGGUACCGAAUCCACAAGAAAACAUUUUCUCCCUGAGGGUCCCGCUCAGGUCUCACUGAGGCUUCUGCAAGAGCCGCCUGCAUCGCACGCCUCAGCUUCUCCCUGCCUUCAGUGCAAAGAACUGCAGAUAGACAGUGUUUGCCUGUGCUCAGCGUACCUAGCACAUACCUCUUCACGCAACCGCACAGUUCGCAAAUGAUAGUUUAACUUUCUCUGUUGUGGUGGGCACGUGUUUUGUCAUCUGAAAUUAACUUGUGAAAGCCUUUGUAUCAUUUUUUGAUUUGUGUUUGGCGACAACGCGGAUCAUAUCUUACCGCGUUGAUGGUUGGUACAAUUGCUAAAUUAAAGGCAUGUUUUCGGCUUUGAGAAACAGCAACAAAAAAACAGCCCUCUGAGAGCUCAUCUUCAGCAGAACAACCCAAAGAGCACCGUAAUAACACAGCUCAAUAUUUCCUGCGUGCGCAGUGUCUAUGUCACUCGAUGUCUCUAUUGUCUCUGCCUAGGGAUACUCAAGGAACUCUCAGACUCGUUACCUAUGACCAUCACCUAAAGGAAUAUACGAAUAGAAUGUGGAUAAUCGCUCCAACUGCUUGGAGGAAUGCAAGUGGAUUCGUAUAUAUAUACUUUUUCUGUGUCCUUACCUGUUCUCCCAUGUAAACAUUAGGAACUGAACUCGUCUUGACGUGCUUUGGUGCCUGAGCCACACGGAGAGAGACGAACCACUACGAUAGAGUGAGCGAACCCCGUUGUGUGCGGUGCGGUGCGGUGCGGUGUUGUUCCCUCUGUUGAGGCUCCGCUUCCCCGUGAAGGGCGUCCCGCCGCGCCCAGCGCUGAGCCCCGCUCUUCUCCGGACACGCGGCUUUACGUGUAAAGCUUUUAGCGCGUUGGGGCUGAAAUUAUGAUUUUCCACGUUUCCAAAGGGACGGGGCUCUAUUUAUAAACGUUACAGGAGGUUUCGUUACUUCAGGAACAACAAAACAGGAACAGAGCUGUAAUUUUCAAGAAAAUAGGAUUUCAAAAUACAGAAAUAAAAAAAAGUAGAGAAGACGACGUAUAAUUCAAUCAAAUUACUGACAAUUGCUUUAAAAUUCAGAAUAGUAGCGAUCCAUUAUGUCUCUGUUUUAUUAGUGACAAGUACAAUUACUCUAAAAUAAAGAACACUGGUG
rnacentral:lncRNA from 7 species